rnacentral:lncRNA from 1 species
CAAAUAUAAAUGAACUGUACCAUGUGUACUGCAAUUUUAAAUUUAAACCAAAUUAUGUUGUUAUUUAAUACUGUUUUUAAAGGAAAAUAAAAUAAUAAAAACAAAGCAAAGCAGUAAAUCAUAAAAAAAAAUAAAAGUUAGCUGAACUAACAAAUAAGUAAAAAAUAAACUGAUAAAUAUUUGUUUUUCUUACACCUCUCCAGCAUCCUCGCAGUAUACAUGAAAUGAAAUAUGUUUCAAUAAAUUAAUAAGAAAAAAAGAUGAAGAAAAAAAAGGGAGCAACUUGUACAUGUACAUGUAUUUGAUGUGCAACAAAAUAUACAGCCAGUCAUUAACCACAAUAAAUAAAUCUUGUCACAACAGGGGAUAUUAUCAACAAAUGAUUACUCAGUCACUUACCAAUGACUUCACUUAACCCUUUCCUCCAUAAUGAUGCUUUUUGACGCAACCACCUUUACUCCAUAAUGACGCCUUUUUAAUGCCUAAUUUGAAACAUCUUACCUAGG